GCCGAAGUGGCGGAAUUGGCAGACGCGCUACGUUCAGGGCGUAGUUCUCAUUCGGGAGUGUGGGUUCGACUCCCACCUUCGGCACCA
rnacentral:tRNA from 1 species